UAGAGUUUGAUCAUGGCUCAGAUUGAACGCUGGCGGCAGGCUUAACACAUGCAAGUCGAGCGGGGAAAAGUAGCUUGCUACUUAACUUAGCGGCGGACGGGUGAGUAAUACUUAGGAAUCUGCCUAUUAGUGGGGGACAACAUUUCGAAAGGAAUGCUAAUACCGCAUACGUCCUACGGGAGGCAGCA
rnacentral:rRNA from 1 species